rfam:Capsicum annuum cultivar Zunla-1 chromosome 2, whole genome shotgun sequence
GUCCCUUCGGGGACAUCCGAUAAAACUGAAACAAUACAGAGAAGAUUAGCAUGACCCCUGCAGAAGGAUAAUAUGAACAAAUUGAGAAGUGGUCCAAAUUUUU